rnacentral:rRNA from 1 species
GACGAACGCUGGCGGCGUGCUUAACACAUGCAAGUCGAACGGAAAGGCCCUGCUUUUGUGGGGUGCUCGAGUGGCGAACGGGUGAGUAACACGUGAGUAACCUGCCCUUGACUUUGGGAUAACUUCAGGAAACUGGGGCUAAUACCGGAUAGGAGCUCCUGCUGCAUGGUGGGGGUUGGAAAGUUUCGGCGGAUGGGGAUGGACUCGCGGCUUAUCAGCUUGUUGGUGGGGUAGUGGCUUACCAAGGCUUUGACGGGUAGCCGGCCUGAGAGGGUGACCGGGCACAUUGGGACUGAGAUACGGCCCAGACUCCUACGGGAGGCAGCAGUGGGGAAUAUUGCACAAUGGGCGGAAGCCUGAUGCAGCAACGCCGCGUGCGGGAUGACGGCCUUCGGGUUGUAAACCGCUUUCGCCUGUGACGAAGCGUGAGUGACGGUAAUGGGUAAAGAAGCACCGGCUAACUACGUG